GUGAUUCAGUUAAAAACUGAAUUAACUGAAAUCAAUUCAACAACAACUGCCCCGGUGCUUCCCCGUAGAUAGCACCGCUGGUCAGUUCGGGAGGGGAUGGGACAUUGAGGAGCAGGACAGUCUUCAGGAAGCUUACAGUCUGCUUUGGGGUGUGAGACACCAGGCGGGGUGUGGCUUUCAUUGGGAGGGACUCCUAUGAAGUGUUACAGGGUUUAGAGAAAAAAGGUGGCUGGAAAUGGAAGAUGAGAGGAUCCUGGACAACCUGGGGGCAGAGGGACGUCAUGGCUCUGAGUGGGAGUGGAGAAGAUGGCAUUUUGGUGGAUGGGUGGAGGAAGAGCAUAGGCACAGAUGGCCACGUGGAGUGUGGUCCACAGAUAAGUCACCUGGUGGAGUGCAGCCACAGUGCCUGAGUCAGGAGGUCUCAGCUCGUGAGUGUAUCUUAGCUCAACGAUACACUCAAGAUCCUUGAGCUAGGAGAAACCCUAUAAACCACCUAAGUGGAUGCCUUCUCUUUAGAGAGGAGAGAGCUUAGGUCACAGAGAGGCUGUGACCUCCCCCAAGGGUGGUGCAGAAAGCGGCCAUAGCAGUGAAGGGGAAAGGCCUCGUGGCGUUGGGGGGCCACUCGCCAUAAAGGUGUGGGGGUCAGAGAAAGGGAAGAUCAGAGGACACUGGAACUUGACACUGAGCUGAGGAAUGAGACUGGGUGGGAUCAUUCAUAGAAAUUUCAUCUGAAGCCUGGGAAGGAAUUGUUUCAGGAACACAGUCAUCCCUCAGAAAUGGAUUGGGUGACAAGUGGUCUGCAUGCUGCACACGGGCACUGGGUGAGUGUGCUUGGAGCUGUUUGUCAGGACAUCAUCAGCAAUAGACAGAACACGAGGGAAGUAAUCAGUGAAAGAAGACGAAGUUGUUAAGUUGUUUCUGACUUUAUCUUUGGAGCGGGCUCACAGAACAUUUGAGUGGGCUUUUUGGUAUAAGAGAAAGAGCCCUACACUUUUGCCCAAUUCUAGUUCUAGGCUCCAAAACAAAUUUUACUAGGGUUCUGAACUGACGGGUUAGACUGUUUUUGUUAACUUUUAUUCUUAUAAAUAUUUUUGGCCAUUGCAGUCCAAUCAGAAGAAAAGUAGAAAGCAGGUCAUUUUUACCUUCUCUAAGAAAAGAAAUCCAAAAUUUACAGGAAAGCCCAUUCUUGAAAGUCCCUUGUGCUGCUAGGCAGGGCCUUUCGAUUAUUUUCAGACAGAUGUUGAACCUUCAGAAUUUCCUCCGUGCAUCGGGGUCACUGACUACUUGUGUCUAAUGCAACUCUGCACUAACUAGAUUGUGCGCCGACCUCUAUUUUCACUUUCAAACCUCAUAUUCCAACGUUGCUCAAGGUUGACUGUCACUGACUGGGCUUUUCUUUACGACUGUACUUAUGAAGAACAAAUGUACUUGUAAAUGUUUGGGGACUUCAAAUUUAGUUUACAAAUGUGUAGUCCUCAUUGAAGAUUCGAUUUGUAUUAUAUUUAGGCAAGUUUUCUGGCUCUUAAUGGGGUCCUAAUGAGUCACCGAUGGUAAGGCUUCAGAUUCAGACCUUCCUGUUAGGAUGGGGAUGAGCUGUUUGUCCUCAUUUGCCAAUUAUUUGGAAGAGAAAACCAAUGUAAUGCAAUCGGAAUCCAGUUGUAUUAUUAAGACCCGCAUUUGAAACCUAGUUUCUUCUAUCAGAAGUAAUUUUUCUGAUUUUUGGAUUAUGUACUUCUCCUUCAUAUAAAUGAAUGUUACUGCUUUUGUGGUGUUACCAGACCUAGCUUAUAGAAAUAAAUGACAGGCCACCUGGGGGUCUGCCCGUGCAAGCAUGAACUAAGCAGCAACAAGCAGUAUGCCCUGCGGUGACCAGUGUGUCAGCAUUCACAUAAGCCCGGGACAGUGAAUGCGGGCCCUUGUCAGUCACGGGCAUCAGGCGCAUGGCACUGGGCACAGCUGACUGCCUGUUGAUGCUGAUGGCUGGAUGGCUGCAUUUAAGUACACUUUCACAAAACUCAUUUGUAUCUCUUCCCGAAGAAACCUAAAUGGAAUUAAUUUGUUGGAGGGCUGCAAUGUAAAAUUUUUAAAUAGAGAACAAAAUGGAGUAUGUUGCUGUUUCAUGGAAGAGAACACGGGAGAAACUAGCAAUCUGUAAGCUAAAAAUUGAUGGCAGCCCCUGCCACAAUGAAUAAUUGGCAAUGCCAUUCAGCCUUUAAAGGUAUCAGAUAAUGAAUAAGCUGGGCAUAAGGCAUCUAGUUCCCUUCCAUUAUUCUCCAAUAGGUUAUGUAAUAAACAUCCAUCCCUGAAAGAUAAUUCUGUUUUUCAUUGUUCUGUAAGAGAAGAUAAUUCUCUCUUUUUUUAAAUUGUCCUGGAAGACAUUCUUAAAACACCUUGUUAACAAACUGGCUAAAUGUCCACCUACAGAAUUGCACUAACUAAAACCAAAAUUAGUCAUUAGAGCUGUUAUGCAUUUGUCAGCAAAUCCCUUAUGUCCAUCUCAUGCCUGACUUUUCUUUAACAAAACUAUGUUAUACGUAGAACUUAGCAGUACAGAUGAUGCCUGCUUUGAUCAUACAAACGGGCUUUAUACAUGAAUUGUAAUUUCCACUUUAAUUUGUUUUUGCGAAAUCUUUCCUGCAGUAUCAUUCCAUCUCAGCAUUCCCCAACCACCUUUGACAUUUUAAUCAAUUAUCCUCUCAUGUCUUGUUAGGCCACAAACGUAUGGGCUCUAUUUUUUCAAAGAAAAGUAUGUUGGUCACUUACAAGAUGGAUCCAAAUGUAAAAGAUGUUUUUCACGUUCUAGCGUACAUUCCUAAUUGUUCUUAGUCAAUGUCUGCAAAUGAAUAGUAUGUGGAAAUAUCCUAAGCCCAUGCUUGCUUUGUACAAAGGAAUCCUUUCCCCUCUACUGAAUGCUAUCUGGAUGGGCAAUGACGACAGUUUUUCAGAUCUCAAACACAACAGAACGACACACCAAGUCAGACAUGAACUAAACUGCAAUUGUAACUACUGAGGGAAUUUUUAUGCAGAUUAUGUAACAAAAAUGAAACUAGACAAAGUGUGAGAAAGGCCACUAAAAUAAAACGGUCAGGCCACGCUUUAGAACUGUAGAAUCAAAGAGUCUUCACCUUUCUAGGCUGGAGACGACCUUCUCACUCACGGACCAAACCCUUGGUGUGACCUCUAUUUCCCAAGAGAUGAGCCUUCAGGCCUGAGGAUCAGUGGCCUGAUUCUUAUAAAGGAGACGGUGGACUCACAAAGGCAUCACGUCAGUAUUUUAACAAGCUCACCUCUAAGAGAUGACGUUAGAUUUUCUACUGUAGCUUCGGGGGCUUAAAUAGACACUCCUUAAUUUAGAGUUAGUAAGCUCAAUCAUUUUGAUCAGGUACAGGUUUUUAGCAACAACUGUCAUCAAAACAGGUUUUCCAGUAGCAAAUGAAUUUGAUACUGACUAAACAUUUGGUAAAAGAUGACUAUGCACAUGCCAAAGAAAAGAGUGACUUGGGAGAGCUUUUUCUAUACAAAGAAUGGUUGACUUGGGGCUCCUGCCUCCCCGAUGUUCUGAUGCAAACCAGUCCUGUGUGUGGGGACUCUAUUUGCACAGAUCACAUAGUUCCCUGUAGGAAAAGAUACUCAUAUAAACCCACACAACUCCAACAUAGCUCAACAAGUAGAAUUUUAAAAACUAAUAUUGUAAGGGGUGUUUCAAAGAGAUAUGCUCAUUUUGGGACUUUUUAACUCUCCCCUCAUGUUUCCUGCCUUGUUGAAGAGUGGACAAUUUAUUUGGUAUUGACUUAGUGUGAGGCAUGCCCUAGACCCGAGGAAUAUAAAGGGGACUGGGAGAAAGCCCGGCCUCCCUGGAGCUCUUCACGUGAUGACAGGCGCAGAUCAGCGGACAGGCGCGUAACAGGAGGUGCUAAGUGCGCAGGUGGGGUCACGUGCCGCGUCACAGCAGUGCUGGAGGAGAGUCCUGACUCAUGGCCUGGGAUGCUGGGGUUCCUCCCCAGAGAAGCUCUUUUGGACCUGGGAGAAGGAGUAGGACUUUGAUACACCAUGGAGGUGAGAAUCCACUUUGGGAUGGGAAACCCACUGAGUGAGGUAGAAAAGAGGGUGAAGUAGAAAAGGUGGGAUUCGGGGCUGGGAAAUCCAGCAGGGUCUCUGUGUGCUGCCGAUGGGUUUGGAUGGUUCUGCAGGUGACGGGGCUGUCAACGUUGCAGCACCAUGAUGAAGUCUGGGGUGGAAAGCAGAUACAUUCAUGGAGGGGAGGAGCGCGGGCUCUCAGUUGAGAGGCGUUCUCAGCAGUGCUGCAAAGAGAUGGGGCCAGUCCUGAGCCACUGGAAAGGCGGGCGGCGAGCACAGAAGCCUUUCACAGGCCACUUGCACAGGCCUGGGUGCACUGACUGGCGUGGGUAGGGUGGGCGAGGGUGGCGUCCAAGGUGACACUGAGGUUCCAGCAGAGGCCGCGAACAGAUCAGUCUAUGGAGGGAUGUUGGGCAUACAACGGAGGAGCGGAUGUGAGAAGUCAAUAAUGAGUUCAAUUUAGGCCAUCCUGAGGUUCAGGUGUUGUAUCACAUACAGUUGAAACUGUGAUUUGGUGUUCAGAGGAAAACAGACUUUGAGAAAAACAGAUUUGGGAGCCACUGAUAGGGAAGGGAAACGGAUGAAAUUACCCGGGACCCUGUGGAGCUUGAGGACGGGGGGUGUCUCCCUCCCUGCAGAGCAGGUGCCUGGAGAGGAGACAGAGCCCGUGAAGUGGGGGCAGGAAAGGGCGCUGAUGGCGCAGAGCCCGGGGAAAAUGUCAAGAGCCCCAGGAGUGGAUGCCCCCAAACAACCGUCAAAUUGGUCUUGUGUGUGCGGUGAGGGCGACGGGAGGCCGACUAAAUACCUCCUGACUGUGCCCCUCAGCGGGUAGGAACAGAAGCACCUCCAGGGAGGGAGCAGAGCGGUGGAGAGGAAAUGCAUGCUGGGUUGAAUGACAUCAAACUACUCGGAAGCAAAGGAACAGCCUCAUGUUUUAGUCUGUGAGAUGGGGCCAGGGAGCGCCUGGUCCGGCAGGAGUGAGAGAUGCACACCUGCACGCGACGGCUCCACUGGGCAGGGAGAUAGGGUGUGUCCAGGGGAAGAGGCUGCCAGAAGCGGCCAGAGGAAUCAAGAGUUCCAACUCUUAGUAAGAAUCUAAGUUGGGAGAGAUGAGACUGUGGGCACAGCCAGGCAAAACAGGCCUCUCCACCACACUGGCCCCAUGCUGAGGACAGAGGUGGCAAGUUUAGAAUGACAAGUAGUCUGUGUGUGUGUGUCUGUGUCUGCGUGUGUGUGUGUGUCUGUGUCUGUGUGUGUGUAUCUGUGUCUGCCUGUGUGUUGAAGGGGGCACACGAGAGAAUUCCCUCAGUAAUCUGAGGGUGUCUGAGAGUGGAGACAAUGAGAAUGUUGCUUCCAUUUGCCAUUGGACAGCAGCUCUCCAGGCGUGUGCAGCUUUGCAGCCAGCAGGCUAUGUUGGGGUCCACCCCUUGGCUCCAUUCUUGGGGGAAGGGGGAAAUCUGAAAGCCUGCCAGAGAAAAGGCCACACAACGAAGCCCCCUGGCUAGGCAGCCCACUAUGCAGAUUCUAUAAGGGGGCAGUGCCUGCGUCUCAGAGGGUGC
rnacentral:lncRNA from 1 species